rnacentral:rRNA from 1 species
AUUGAACGCUGGCGGCAGGCCUAACACAUGCAAGUCGAACGCGUGGCGGACGGGUGAGUAAUGUCUGGGAAACUGCCUGAUGGAGGGGGAUAACUACUGGAAACGGUGGCUACUACCGCAUACCAUCAGAUGGGCCCAGAUGGGAUUAGCUAGUUGGUGGGGUAACGGCUCACCAAGGCGACGAUCCCUAGCUGGUCUGAGAGGAUGACCAGCCACACUGGAACUGAGACACGGGCCAGACUCCUACGGGAGGCAGCAGUGGGGAAUAUUGGACAAUGGGCGCAAGCCUGAUGCAGCCAUGCCGCGUGUAUGAAGAAGGCCUUCGGGUUGUAAAGUACUUUCAGCGGGGAGGCGUUACCCGAAGAAGAAGCACCGGCUAACUCCGUGCCAGCAGCCGCGGUAAUUC